rnacentral:rRNA from 1 species
AGCGAACGCUGGCGGCGUGCCUAACACAUGCCAGUCGAACGUGAAAGGGAGCAAUCCCAAGUAAAGUGGCGUACGGGUGAGUAACACGUAGGUAAUCUACCCCAUAAUCUGGAAUAACCGGCCGAAAGGCUGGCUAAUACUGGAUAGAGCGACGGAAUCCGUAAUUGGGUUUUUCGGGAAAGGGAGCCUGUAAAAAGGCCUUCGUUCUGGGAUGAGCCUGCGUCCCAUCAGCUGGUUGGUGAGGUAAAAGCUUACCAAGGCAAUGAAGGGUAGCUGGUCCGAGAAGGAGAUCCGGCACACCUGAACCGAAACACCGGCCCGGCCUCCUAGGGAAGGCGCAAUGGGGAAUCUUGCGCAAUGGACGAAAGUCCUGCGGAGGAAAGGCGGGUGAGUGAAGAAGGGCUUCGGGUUGGAAAGCUCUGUCGAGUGGGAAGAAAAUGCUUGGAGUUCAAAGAUCCAGGACCUGACGGUACCAAUAAAGGAAGCACCGGCUAACUACGUG